CAAUGCGGGGAAUCACGUGGUCAGAAUUGACAAAACAUGGCCGCCGAUGCCUCGAUAAGAUGGAAAAUUUGAGUGUUUAAACAGUACUCGUUUUACAUGAGCCGGAUAGAGGACAGACUGUACAUAUAACCUCGAAGCGGACAUAAAACCUUAUAGCUACAGACACCAACUCAGACACAUUACAAUUUACAAGAGAUCAGGCAAGAUGUGCAUCAGCAGAUACAGAUGAACACCCAAGUUGCAACAGUAACAAGAAAGAGCCUCAGACUUAGUAUGUAUAUAUGUAUGUAUAUAACUAAUCGUGGAC